rnacentral:rRNA from 1 species
UUUAACGCUAANUACGGGGGACAGCNAAACAAGCAGUGGCGGAGAGGGGGCUGCACCUCCUGAGGCGCGACCGGGGAGUAAGCUAAGAAUCUGCCUGGAGGGGGGAAUACGCUCGAAACGAACGCUAAUACCGCAUACGUCCUACGGGAGAAAGCAGGGGACUUUCGGGCCUUGCGCUAUCAGAUGAGCCUAGGUCGGAAUAGCUAGUUGGUGGGGUAAUGGCUCACCCAGGCGACGAUCCGUAACUGGUCUGAGAGGAUGAUCAGUCACACUGGAACUGAGACACGGUCCAGACUCCUACGGGAGGCAGCAGUGGGGAAUAUUGGACAAUGGGCGAAAGCCUGAUCCAGCCAUGCCGCGUGUGUGAAGAAGGUCUUUGGAUUGUAAAGCACUUUAAGUUGGGAGGAAGGGCAUUAACCUAAUACGUUAGUGUUUUGACGUUACCGACAGAAUAAGCACCGGCUAACUCUGUGCCAGCAGCCGCGGUAAUACAGAGGGUGCAAGCGUUAAUCGGAAUUACUGGGCGUAAAGCGCGCGUAGGUGGUUUGUUAAGUUGGAUGUGAAAUCCCCGGGCUCAACCUGGGAACUGCAUUCUAAAACUGUCGAGCUAGAGUAUGGUAGAGGGUGGUGGAAUUUCCUGUGUAGCGGUGAAAUGCGUAGAUAUAGGAAGGAACACCAGUGGCGAAGGCGACCACCUGGACUGAUACUGACACUGAGGUGCGAAAGCGUGGGGAGCAAACAGGAUUAGAUACCCUGGUAGUCCACGCCGUAAACGAUGUCAACUAGCCGUUGGGAGCCUUGAGCUCUUAGUGGCGCAGCUAACGCAUUAAGUUGACUGCCUGGGCAGUACGCGCGAACACGGUA